UGACUUAAUUAAGCAUAAUUCUGGUAAU
rnacentral:sRNA from 1 species